GAUGAACGCUGGCGGCGUGCCUAAUACAUGCAAGUCGAGCGAACAGACGAGGAGCUUGCUCCUCUGACGUUAGCGGCGGACGGGUGAGUAACACGUGGAUAACCUACCUAUAAGACUGGGAUAACUUCGGGAAACCGGAGCUAAUACCGGAUAACAUGUUGAACCGCAUGGUUCAACAGUGAAAGACGGUCUUGCUGUCACUUAUAGAUGGAUCCGCGCCGCAUUAGCUAGUUGGUAAGGUAACGGCUUACCAAGGCAACGAUGCGUAGCCGACCUGAGAGGGUGAUCGGCCACACUGGAACUGAGACACGGUCCAGACUCCUACGGGAGGCAGCAGUAGGGAAUCUUCCGCAAUGGGCGAAAGCCUGACGGAGCAACGCCGCGUGAGUGAAGAAGGUCUUCGGAUCGUAAAACUCUGUUAUUAGGGAAGAACAAAUGUGUAAGUAACUAUGCACGUCUUGACGGUACCUAAUCAAAAAGCCACGGCUAACUACGUG
rnacentral:rRNA from 1 species